GCCAGGGCCUGGGGGGGUGGGGCUGGGGAGCACCCCCAGCCCUGAACACCCCUCACCCCCCAAAGGGGUGGGCUAUGGGCUCCAGCUCCAGGCCUCCCACGUUGCCAUGACAACUGCAGCAUCCCAGCUUGGCAGGGAUGGGAAAUCUCCUCCAUCCCAUCAUCGCCUCGCCCGGACACGGCUCCGGAUCUGGCACAGGCAGCAUCCCAAACCCACGGAGGAGCACGAGGUGCAAUUCCUGCUGGCUCUGAAGGCUGGGCCACGCUCCUCCAUCCUGCACAGCCCUCCCAGAGCCACACGGCUGCCAGGGCAGGGGCAGGAGAGAUUCCUGCUUUUCAGAUGUGGAUCUUCCCAUUCCAAACCAGGGAUUCCAAACCCUUCCACCUGCUCUGGAUCUGCGGGGUUCUGGCAAGCACAGCAUCCUCCAGGCUGCCCCCACACCUUCCUGUCCUCUCUGGGGGGGACAAAGUGGGCAGUGGGCUCCCAGGUCACGGAUCUUUGAGAUUUGGGGGCAGCAGAGCCAGGGGUGUCUCUGGGCUGGUGUUACCCCCAUUAAUCGGAGCAUCCUCACGGGCUCCUGCAGCCUCCCAGCCCCUCAGCUCUGAGCCUGGAGAGAUCCCGAGCUAAUUCCUCGCUGACAGCAGUGGCACAGGGUUGGGGAAAAGCUUAGCUCCUCGUCUCAGAGGCUGCUGCACCUCCACAAAAGUCGCAUUUGAAGAGCAUUAAUACAAGAUUAAUCGAGGUUUUAAUAAACAGCGAAUCGAGCGCUAAUGGAGCCCGACUUGUAAGCCAUGUGUAACACCCUGGGGGCUUAAAGGCAUCCGGAAGAUGGCUGGAACAUGCUGAAAGGGGAUGUUAAUCACCUUGUAGCCCUGAAGACACCGCAGGGGAAGGGAAUUUUAGGGGAAAGGCUGCAGGUGAGCCUGGGGCACGGGGAUUUACAAGCGUUACCCCCAGCCCAGCCCUGGCACCGAGGCAGGCAGAGGAAUUUGGGACACCCGGGGCUGGAGCCACUGAAGCAAGGCCAGUUUUUAAGGGAAGAUGUGCCCUGGAGCGGAGCUAUCCCAGUCACCAGCCCCUGCUUGGUGACUGGGGACCAUCUGGAGGGGGCAAACUCCGCAGCUGCCCUGGGGUCCCUCUCCUGGGGCUCCCCCACCCUCCUGGACAGGAGCCCAUCAGCACCUCCCUGGCUGAAGCCGCUCCCAGAUCCGAUAACCCCAGACAGGGAUUUCGAUUCUCUCCAUCAGCUCCAGUCCCAGGAAGGCUGCACCUCCCUCAGCCUCUGCUCCAGUUUGUGGCACCUCUGCAGCCACUCGAGGGACAGGCGUGGUUUGAGGAGAGCCGGGAGCCUUUCCCAAGCACCAAGGUCCGGUUCCAAAGCGCCCCUGUCCCCCAAGGGUGUGGCUGGCUCUGCAGAGCUCCUGGGCCACGUCUGUCCCCAGGGCUGGCCAGGUUACCUGGGGAGUGCCAGGGCUGCAGAGCAGGAGGUGGGUGAAGGUGCAGAGAUUGGCACCUGUUCCUGCCCACUCCCUGCUCAGCCCCUUGGCUCCCUGAGAGCCAGGAGUAGCCACAAGAGCUGCCUCUGGAAGGGACUGGCCCCUCCAGCCCGAAGGAGAGGGAAAUGCUGCAGCUCAUCCUGUUCAACAGCAGCCAUGGGGAAAAUAAAGAUUGGGGGUGGAUCUUGAGUGACUCUCCCAGAACAACCUCCAGCAGUGACCUCCAGGCCUCCCUAAAGUUCACUUUUUAUUUUUUUUCAUUGUCAACAAGAGAAAGAGUGGGAGAAAUCUCACCACAAAGGUCUUGGGUAAUUUGCUAUUUUUCUCCCCUUGCAGAGCAGAAGGUUUGAGAUGUGGCUUCCAAGGGUGUGAUUUUAAAUUAAUGGAAUCAAAGUCAAAUGUUGUCAGUAGCUUAAAAACAUUUAUGAGAAGUUACCAAUGAAAUUCCAACCAUUCCUCCAAGGUGUGGCCCUGAGAACAUUUCUGCAAAGAAUGAGAACUCUGAGGUGGGUGCUGAGCUCUGAUCCCUUGGUGCCUGCAAACUCCAGCAUCCCUGAACCCCUGACUCCUGUCCCACUGGCAGCACUUUCUGGAAGUGCUCCAGAGGCUACAGCCAAAGUCAGGAUGGGCUUUUUGGCGUGGCUGCUGGGCUGCUCCACAUGGGAUGUGGCACAAAUGUGACUCUUGGUUCCUGUGCCAGAGGAGCCAUGUGCAGAGCUGCACAUGCCACUGCCAAAUACCAGCCUCGUGCAGGGAGCCCUUCCCUCUGGGGAACACAGGGUUAAUUGCCCUGCUAAUCACUCUGUUUCACUAAUCAGUCCCUGCAGAGGGGUUCUGUUUGUUUUUCCAGGCUUAUACAUCCUCUACCCAGCGUUAAUGGUGAUUUAUUUAAGAGGCAAAUUUUUGAUUUUGCUUUCUGGCAUUUAUUUUAAGGUUUGGUUUUUUGGGUGUUUUUUUCUUCACAGCAAACAUAAAAUCUGCUAAGAUAUUUCUCCUAGGAAUUUUAUUGAAUCAGCAGGUCUAUUCCCAAUGUGAGUCCUUAUUUCAGAGAAUUCCCUGUAUUCAUGGAACCAUGCUGCUGAGCCUUAUGGACACCACAGGUCCUUAACAAAGAACACAACUGGGUUUUUAAAGGAGUAGAGGACACAGGACACUGCGGGACACUCUCAGGUAUUGGGCCCCUCACAAG
rnacentral:lncRNA from 1 species